rnacentral:rRNA from 1 species
AUGUGUAAUGACCCAACAAGGUCGUCGUACGAGUCACAGAUCUACAGGCCGACCUUUGCGGGCUUCGUCAACAUCGACAUAGCUAAGACCAAGAAGAUCGCACUCAGGACAUUGAUUGACCAUUCUGUGGUGGAGAGCUUCGGGGCCGGCCGGAAGACGUGCAUCCUGGCGAGGAUUUACCCGAGGAAGGCCAUCGGGGAAGACGCGCACCUCUUCGUCUUCAACAAUGGCGAGUCGGACAUCAAGGUCACCAACCUGGACGCGUGGCAUAUGAAGACCCCCACGAUGAACAAGCUGCUGGAGCAGUAG